rnacentral:lncRNA from 1 species
UAUGCAACAAGUUACUAUAAUAAUGGUUAUCAGCAGCAAACCAACCAUUCAUACUCUCAGCAACAACCAAACCAUUCAUACUCUCAGCAGCAGCAACCUAGCCAUUCAUACUCUCAGCAGCAACAACCUAGCCAUUCUUACUCUCAGCAGCAGCAACCUAGCCAUUCAUACUCUCAGCAGCAACAACCUAGCCAUUCUUACUCGUCGACUGUAGGAGCAUAUCAAAACACAGGUGCUCCUUAUCAGCCUCUUUCCUCAUUUCAGAAUACAGGGUCU